UACGGAGAGUGCAAACGUUGUUCGGAUUCACUGGGCGUAAAGGGCACGUAGGCGGCUCGGCAAAUCGGGCGUGGAAUCCCGACGCUUACCGUCGGAACGGCGGCCGAAAAUACCGGGCUCGAGGGCGUGAGGGGUCACUGGAACUCCUGGUGAAGCGGUGAAAUGCGUAGAUAUCAGGAGGAACGCCGGAGGCGAAAGCGAGUGACUGGCGCGUUCCUGACGCUGAGGUGCGAAAGUGUGGGGAGCGAACAGG
rnacentral:rRNA from 1 species